rnacentral:rRNA from 1 species
AUUGAACGCUGGCGGCAGGCCUAACACAUGCAAGUCGAGCGAGCGGCGGACGGGUGAGUAAUGUAUGGGGACUGCCCGAUAGAGGGGGAUAACUACUGGAAACGGUGGCUAAUACCGCAUACUAUCGGAUAACCCAUAUGGGAUUAGCUAGUAGGUGGGGUAAAGGAUCACCUAGGCAACGAUCUCUAGCUGGUCUGAGAGGAUGAUCAGCCACACUGGGACUGAGACACGGCCCAGACUCCGACGGGGGCAGCAGGGGGGAAUAUUGGACAAGGGGCGCAAGCCUGAUGCAGACAUACCGCGUGUAUGAAGAAGGUCUUAGGGUUGUAAACUCCUUUCACCAUCUACGCGUUAGAUGGAGAAGAAGCACCGGCUAACUCCGUGCCAGCAGCCGCGGUAAUUC